UCUCUCUGCAGCUUGUAGAGUGGCCUGUUU
rnacentral:piRNA from 1 species